rnacentral:lncRNA from 1 species
CUCAUCUUUUCUGCUGCCACAACUCCAGUCCAAGCCACAAACCUCUCUCUCCUGGACUCCUGCGGGGAGUUCCUUUCUCUCCCUGCAUGAGUCUAUUCUCCGCACAACUGGCAGAGGUAAGUGAGACUGCGGAAGAGGCAAGUUUGCAAGUCCAGAGGAAAUGAAGACUCUGCUUGUGCACAUGCUGGGUUUGACGGGUGCUGGAUAUCCGAUGGAUGGCCCUUAAGGUCGCCUUUUCUCCUUCUCUUAGAGUUUGGAGGACGCAAAUGUGCUGAGAAGUCAACCUUUCCUGCAAGAAAUUUUGCAUUGAUUCCCUGAAGAAGCAUUAAUAUGGGACCUGACUUAUAAAAUGAUGAACUCAAUCUCCCCACUCAAGAACUGCUGCUUAGCCUCCUGCCAGAUGAUGAACUGGGUACACACGAGCAUUUUUCCAGCACCCACAGAUCUCACCAAGAACCUAGCUGAAGCCUGUAGAAUGAAUAGCGUUCAUGAUCUGCUUCUCACAUGAUAUUGACUUACGUCAUUUCUGCAUUUCCUGUCUUCCACACUAAAAUGUCAGCCUGUUUUGUUCACUGCUGUAUCCCCAGAGCCUAGCACGGAGCCCAGCAUGUAGUGGUAUCCAAUAAAUACUUGUUGCAUGAAUG